AAAACGACUCUCGGCAACGGAUAUCUCGGCUCUCGCAUCGAUGAAGAACGCAGCGAAAUGCGAUACUUGGUGUGAAUUGCAGGAUCCCGCGAACCAUCGAGUCUUUGAACGCAAGUUGCGCCCGAAGCCUUUUGGUCGAGGGCACGUCUGCCUGGGUGUCA
rnacentral:rRNA from 1 species